rnacentral:rRNA from 1 species
UUCUUUGAGAAUUUACAAAUUGAGAGCUCUUUCUUGAUUCUGUGGAUGGUGGAGCAAGUCCGUUCUUAGUUGGUGGAGCGAAUUGUCUGGUUGAUUCCGAUAACGAACGAGACUCUAGUCUAUUAAAUAGGUGCGUGGUUCUCUGCACCUUGCACCCUUCUCAGAGGGACAAGCGGCUCCUAGCCGCACAAACCAGAGCAACAACAGGUAUGUGAUGCCCUUAGAU